GCAAAAUACAGAGGCCCGAUGCUACUUUGCUUUCUUUCCAUUGGGAUGCCAGACUCAUGGAAUGCUGACAAGCAGCUCAGGAGAGAUGAAAUGCAGCCCAAAAUCGAGGUCCAAGCCCAUGUUACUCAUGGUGUUUCUCAGGGUGUUUCUCAGAUGUAAAGUAACUUUAUGGUCUUAGACAUGAAGAAUUUGGAGAAUUCCAGUGAACAGCAUCUAUUAUAAAACUCUUAUUCUCUGAGGAAAGGUAUUAUCUUUCUCAAAAAAGGCAGUAACAUCUUUCUCAAGGUCUUAAGGACCUGAAGAUUAAUUAAUUUCCAGUA
rnacentral:lncRNA from 1 species